rnacentral:rRNA from 1 species
GACGAACGCUGGCGGCGUGCUUAACACAUGCAAGUCGAACGGAGUGGCGAGCGGGUGAGUAACACGUGGGUGAUCUGCCUUGCACUUCGGGAUAAGCUUGGGAAACUGGGUCUAAUACCGGCUAGUGCAAGAUGUGCUCGCGGCCUAUCAGCUUGUUAGUGGGGUAAUGGCCUACCAAGGCGUCGGCGGGUAUCCGGCCUUAGAGGGUGUACGGGCACAUUGGGAAUAAGAUACGGCGCAGACUCCUACGGGAGGCAGCAGGGGGGAAUAUGGCGCAAUGGGCGGAAGCGUGAUGCAGCGACGCCGGGUGGGGGAUGAAGGCUUUCGGGUUGUAAACUCCUUUCGACAGGGACGCGGUACCUGUAUAAGAAGCACCGGCUAACUACGUGCCAGCAGCCGCGGUAAUUC